UCAGAACUGAAGUUGGACGGUUUAAUAAUGUGUCUUAUGAUGAUCAGCACCCCCACCGUUCUAACCAUAUUCCUGAAUAUGUUCGGAGCCAACAAUAAUGAACACAAGCCGGCAUUCUCAGCUUCUAUUUUGUUGAUUCUGUUCAUCAUAACUACCAUUGGCAUCAUAAUAUAUAUUGGUGUGAUCAGAAACGAUCUCUCAAACCGAGAGUUUGAGUCGGAAUUGAAAACAAAAUUCAAAAACUAUGAAGCAAACCAAAUGUUCUUGAGGAAGCUACAAAUUGAUAACAAGUGCUGUGUAUAUACGAAUUCAAGUGAUUACAAGACUAUUCCAAGAGCAUGCUGCCAAAAUUUCGAUUAAGACCCAAAAACAUGCAAUGUAUGGGACACAGGAUGCAUAUCGAUUAUUCAGACGUCCGCAGAAUUUGUCACUUCCAAUCUGGGAACUUUCUUUGCCAUUGGAGCUUGCCUCGUGUGUAUUCAAGCGGUUGAAAUUCUUCUCUACGGUUACUUGAUCUUUUCCGGCUUCUUUUUUCUACUUGGACAAAAAUCAUUUUUAACGCAAUCGUCAAAAUGAAUUUAUCAAAUGAGAAAAGUGAUAAAGUCAUAAGUUCUAU